ACUGAAUGGCAUGCUGGAGGGGAAGCCCUAGGGCGGCAGGGACUAGAAGUUUGGGGAAGGAGUGAGGAGGAAGAGCGAGUGACAGAAGACAAAGGUUUUAAGGAUCUUCCUGGAAGAAGGUAGCUAGCAGGUAAGGUUUUGAAGCAGUGAAGGACCUGAAAAUCUUUGAAGUUGAGAGAAAGAAGUCAGGAUAGGAGGGAAAAGGUUAAAUAACAGCAGGGUGAGUGGGGGCUGCUGAACUGAAGGGAUCUAAUUAAGACGAAAAGUAAGGGCUUAUUCCUGAACAGGAGGGAAGGCAUCUCCUCUGGGAAUCCAGAGAAGGCAGAGAAGGUAGAGGAAGGCUGUAAUUUUGAGCACUGGGGCAGGACCAGGAGUGACUUGGCUUCUUAUCACACUUUUCUAAAAGUUUAAUAUUAUUUCCAAAUUAAAAUUUUUUUAAUUAUGAAGCAUUCAGAGG
rnacentral:lncRNA from 1 species